AAGGGCUGGGUAAGACGGGUGCCAGCCGCCGCGGUAAUACCUGCAGCUCAAGUGGUGGCCGCUAUUAUUGGGCCUAAAACGUCCGUAGCCUGUUUAGUAAAUGCUUGGGUAAAUUGUGUAGCUUAACUAUACGAAUACCGGGUAGACUGCUAAACUUGGGACCGGGAGAGGCUAGAGGUACUCCUGGGGUAGAGGUGAAAUUCUGUAAUCCUAGGGGGACCACCAGUGGCGAAGGCGUCUAGCUAGAACGGGUCUGACGGUGAGGGACGAAGCCCUGGGGCGCAAACCGGAUUAGAUACCCAGGUAGUCCAGGGUGUAAACGCUGCUUGCUUGAUGUUAGUUUGGGCUCCGAGCCCAACUAGUGUCGGAGAGAAGUUGUUAAGCAAGCUGCCUGGGAAGUACGGUCGCAAGACUGAAACUUAAAGGAAUUGGCGGGGGAGCAUAGCAACGGGUGGAGCGUGCGGUUUAAUUGGAUUCAACGCCGGAAAUCUCACCGGAGGCGACGGUUAUAUGAAGGCCAGGCUGAUGACCUUACCUGAUUUUCCGAGGAAGUGGUGCAUGGCCGUCGUCAGUUCGUACCGGUGAGGCGUUCUUGUUAAGUCAGACAACGAACGAGACCCCCAUCUUUAGUUGCUACUAGUAAGUCCGCUUACUAGGCACACUAGAGAAACCGCUGGCGAUAAGUCAGAGGAAGGUGAGGGCAACGGUAGGUCAGUAUGCCCCGAAUCCUCCGGGCUACACGCGCGCUACAAAGGCUAGGACAAUGAGUUCCUACACCGAAAGGUGACGGUAAUCCCGAAACCUAGUCGUAGUUCGGAUUGAGGAUUGAAACUCAUCCUCAUGAAGCUGGAAUCCGUAGUAAUCGCGGGUCAACAUCCCGCGGUGAAUAUGCCCCUGCUCCUUGCACACACCGCCCGUCAAACCAUGCGAGUUGGGUCUGAGUGAGGAUGUAGUUUUUGCUGCAUUCAAACUUAGGCUUAGUAAGCGGGGUUAAGUCGUAA
rnacentral:rRNA from 1 species